GUCCGGUUAGCUCAGUCGGUUAGAGCAUGGUGCUGAUAACAACAAGGCCGCGGGUUUGAUCCCCGCUCGGUCC
rnacentral:tRNA from 1 species